rnacentral:rRNA from 1 species
UUGUUCGCAAUGGGCGCAAGCCUGACGGCGCAACGCCGCGUGGAGGAUGAAGACCUUCGGGUCGUAAACUCCUUUCGACCGAGAUGAAUUCCUGCCGGCCUAACAUGCCGGCAGGUUGACAGUAUCGAGGGAAGCAGCCCCGGCUAACUCCGUGCCAGCAGCCGCGGUAAUACGGGGGGGGCAAGCGUUGUUCGGAAUUACUGGGCGUAAAAGGGUCUGUAGGUGGCCAACUAAGUCAGACGUGAAAUCCCUCAGCUUAACUGGGAACUGCGUCUAGACUGGAUGGCUUAGUGCAGGGAGAAUGCGAAUUCCAGGUGAGCGGUAAAUGCGAGUUCUGGGGAACACCGGUGGCGAGGCGGAUUCUGGCUGAACUGACUGAGAGCGUCGCGGACUU